GACGAACGCUGGCGGCAGGCUUAACACAUGCAAGUCGAACGAACCCUUCGGGGUGAGUGGCAGACGGGUGCGUAACACGUGGGAACCUACCUUAUGGUACGGAAUAACAGCGAGAAAUCGCUGCUAAUACCGUAUGUGCCCUUCGGGGGAAAGAUUCAUCGCCAUAAGAUGGGCCCGCGGCAGAUUAGCUAGUUGGUGGGGUAAGAGCCUACCAAGGCUACGAUCUGUAGCUGGUCUGAGAGGAUGAUCAGCCACACUGGAACUGAGACACGGUCCAGACUCCUACGGGAGGCAGCAGUGGGGGAAUAUUGGACAAUGGGCGAAAGCCUGAUCCAGCCAUGCCGCGUGAGUGAUGAAGGCCUUAGGGUUGUAAAACUCUUUCGCUGGGGAAGAUAAUGACGGUACCCAGUAAAGAAGCCCCGGCUAAUUUCGUGCCAGCCGCCGCGGUAAU
rnacentral:rRNA from 1 species